GCUUCCAGGAAGUCAGAUUUGGUCAAAAUUGAAAAGCAGACAAGUCGUGUACGUUCUAACAAGCCUUGGUAAAGCAUCCUGCCGCUGGAUCGUCAUCGCUUGUGCAGGAAAUCAGCGUUAAGGAAACAACGGAGGGUGAAAAAGGCUCAUUGGGGAGACGGUGAAGUCGCGGAACAACACAACUCAACUGCAACCUGAAGGCCAAGCGUUCCUCCGUUUCCUGAUUUCGAGCUGUGUGUCUCGUCUCCCCGAAUUCCCUCUGGUUCCCUGGCUGCCUUCCUGGAUCUCGACCUCUCGCCUGGACACAAACCUUGACGCCUCGCUCCUGCCCCUGACCUCUUGCUGUCACACCGCAUUGAGGGAUGUCUUGUCUUGGUUUCUUCUGUCUUGUGAAUUGCAUGUUUUACUUUGAAAAUUAACUCCUUUCAUGUGAGAUCACUUGCUCUUCCUUUUGUGUCAUCAGUCUGACGUCAUCCCUGACCCUUGAUUGUUUCCACCUGUUCCCCAUUUCCCUCGUGUGUUUUAUAAGCCCACGCCUCCCUUUGUUCUGUGCCAGAUUGUCUCGUUUAUUCGUGCUCUCUAGCAUCCAUGUCCAUGUCCAUGCCUUGCCUUGUCUCCUGCUUAUGUUCCUUGAUCCUGAAUCCCUUUGUUGUUAUUUUGAGUUUUCCUUUCUUCCUCCUCAGCAGAGUGAUUUUUUGUUAUUUAGUUUAUUCAGCCGGAGUGGUGAGUUAUCAGUUAUUUUUUAAUUCUUUCCUCAAAUUUUUGAGUGACAAUUUUUGUUAAACUUUAGUAGAUUAGAUAGUGUCGAAUUUUUCAUAGCUGUUGUUUCUUCCUCCUGUUGGAGCGUUUUUUGUUAAUACAUUUUAUAGCAUACACGGCGCCAAUUAUAGUUCGUCUUUGCUUUUGUGUUUUCCUCCGUUCGGAGUGAUUUUUGGUUGUUCCUAUUUUUUGGAACCUUUUUCGCCGAUGGUUAAUAUAGAUCAGUGUUUUUCAACCACUGAGAUAUUGUCUGGUGUGCCGUGGGAAAUUAUGCAACUUCACCUAAUUUAACCCAAAAAUAUUUUUUGCAAAUCAAAAAUUAGAAUCUGCCAAUAAUGUGCCGUUGCUUAGAGUCUGUGCUGUGUAAAACUCGGCAGGGUAACCACGUAAUACUCCAUGUCAGUAGGUGGCAGCAUUGCUUUGUAAAAGUCGGAAUGUGUCGGGUGAGACGAGGAUGGUUUGUUGUGAUCCCGAUAUGCAGACCACAGUGGGAGGCAGAGUGCAGGUAAAAAGGGUAUGUAAUGCAUAAACCCAAAAUGAACGAAAGGAAAAGGCUAUGCAAAACAAAAGUCAAACUGAACUGGCUACAAAGUAAACAGAGACAGAAUGCUGGACGACAGCAAAAACUUACGGCAUCCACAAAGUACAUCCGUACGUGACAUGACAAUCAACAAUGUCCACACAAAGAAGGAUAGCAACAACGUAAAUAGCCUUGCUUGCUAACACAAAGCAGGUGCGCGGAAUAGCGCUCAAAGGAAGACAUGAAGCCACUACAAGAAAACACCGGCAAAACAGGAAGGGCCACCAAAAUAAGCAAGACAAGAACUAAAGCACUACACACAGGAAGACACCAACACACUCAAAAUAAGACACGACGACUUGGUGGAGUUACAUUUUUUAAAGUUUUCUGCUGGUGGUGUGCCUCCGGAUUUUUUUCAUGACAAAAAUGUGCCUUGCCUCAAAAAAGGUUGAAAAACACUGAUAUAGAUAUUGUAAUUCCUUGACUUUGGAGGUGAAAGGAAGCUGUCAAAAUAAAAGCCUGUCAAA